GUGUUCGCUGCCCUCGCGGGUAGCAAACCUCACCCUUGUGUAUUAUAUCUUCGUUGCUUUGGCACGCCGCCUCCGGGCACUGGCUCCGGCUGGCUCGCGCGUGCCGAGGGACCCUAAACUCUGAAUGUUAAUGUCGUCUGAGUACUAUCUAAUAGUUAAAACUUUCAACAACGGAUCUCUUGGUUCU
rnacentral:misc_RNA from 1 species